AAAUUAUUUUUGUUAGGUGCGCGACAUGCCUAUCAUUUAUUGGUAUGGAUCAUGAUUGAAUCAUGUAGUUCUCUUUUAUUAUUAUUUCACUACUUUGAGGACCGAUACAACAAGAAUCCGCGCUUUUAGCGUAUGAAUUUACCGUCCGGACCCAUAAGACGCAAAUUAGCGUCCAUCUUUGGGCGGACGCUAAUUAGCGUCCGUUUUUGGAGCGGACGCUAAUUAGUGUCCGUUGUACAAGUUUACCGUCUAUCAUGACGGACGGUAUUUAAUGGUCAUAAAGCAAAACACGACCCACCUUAUUUCCAACCCUAUCUCUACCUAUCCUUAUUCUCUCACCUCACAUCACAACCGUCCUCUUUGUUCGUCUUCUUUCUGCUCUUCUUUUCUUCUUCCUUUCUAUUUUUUUCUCUCUCACCGUCGACGGUAUUCACCACACUUUGUCUGAUUUGAAGGUGAUUUUUUGGGUUUUUUAUGUGGUUCGAUCGAUUUUCGAGCCAAUCAACGUCACAGGUUUUCGUUUUAGGGUUAGUUAUUUUUUUGGAUUUUUAUGGGUUUUUUUUGUUAAUUUCUCAAUUCUCCUUCAAAACCCCAUAUUUAUCCUCUCUUUUUUUCGAUUUUUAUUUUCGAAUCCUUUUUUUGUAUGUUUUUUUCGUUUUCUCGAUUUUUAUUUAUCUUCUCUCUUUUUCGAUUUUUGUUUCAGAUCUGGUUUUUUCUUGAUUUUUUCGUCGGGUUUUUAUGCUAUGAUUUUGUGUUGAUUUUUAAUCUGGUGGACUAUCUGGUGUUUUGAUAUGUUGCCUUUUUCUUAUCUAAAGGUAAGUUAUACAAGAAGGUAAGAUCUGCGAUUAUUGACUCUUGACAGUGAUUAGUUUUUUGAAGGAAAAUGACUUGUGAUGUACUUCUGAUAAGUUAUUGAUUAAUUAAGUUGAGCGUGAUUUAGGAAUUGAAAUGAAAGCUAAUACAUAUUUUGUUUUCAGGCUGCCAGUUUUGGAGGAACAAACAUUGAUCCAACAGCCUGGGAAGACAAAAAGAAUGCUGGCGAAUCUCGUUUUCCUGCUCAGGGUUAUGAGAUUUGCGUUUGAGUUCCAGAUUUGAAGUUGGUUUUGAUCCAGAUACCAGAUUUAAAGUCCAUUUUGUUCCAAAUUUUUGUUGUGGAGUUUAAAGUGUACAUGUAAUUAUAUGAGAUUUGUAUUAGAUUUUGUUCUAAGUAUACUAGAAUUUAGUUCUAGAAUUAUUUUUUCACUUGUAUCUACAUUUAUUAUCAAUAAUAAUUGAAUUGAUUAA